GAUGAAGAACGUAGCGAAAUGCGAUACGUAAUGUGAAUUGCAGAAUUCAGUGAAUCAUCGAAUCUUUGAACGCAUAUUGCGCUGUUUGGUAUUCCGAAGAGCAUGCUUGUUUGAGUAUCAGUAAACACCUCAACCUCUUCUUGAUUUUUCAAAAGGAGGGUGGACUUGAGCUAUCCCAACAACCUUUACCGGUCGGCGGGCGGCUUGAAAUGCAGGUGCAGCUGGACUUUUAUCUGAGCUAAAAGCAUAUCUAUUUAGUCCUCGUCAAACAGGAUUAUUACUUUUGCUGCAGCUAACAUAAAGGAUAAUUGUCCUAUUUGCUGACUGAUGCAGGAUUUUACGACACUUUAUGUGUUGUUCAACUCGAUCUCAAAUCAAGUAAGACUACCCGCUGAACUUAAGCAUAUCAAUAAGCGGAGGA
rnacentral:misc_RNA from 1 species